rnacentral:SRP_RNA from 1 species
GAUCUUGGGUUAAACCUGCAGUCCCAGCUACUUGGGAGUCUGAGCCUGCCAGAUCACCCGAGCCCAGGAGUUCCAGGCUGCAGUGCACAAUGUCAAGCAGGUGUCUGUGCUAAGGUGAGCAUCAGCAUGGUCUGCCCUGAGGAUCUGGGAGAGGAUCUAAGGAGAGGGGAACCAGCCCAGGUUGCAGAUGAAGAAGGUCAAAGCUCAUAUGCCUGUUAGUAGCAGGAUCUCACCUGCGAAUAGACACAGGAGUAUAACCUGGGCAACACAAAGAGGCACAGGCUCCU